rnacentral:rRNA from 1 species
AGUGAACGCUGGCGGUAGGCCUAACACAUGCAAGUCGAACGGCAGCACAGGAGAGCUUGCUCUCUGGGUGGCGAGUGGCGGACGGGUGAGGAAUACAUCGGAAUCUACUUUUUCGUGGGGAUAACGUAGGGAAACUUACGCUAAUACCGCAUACGACCUACGGGUGAAAGCAGGGGAUCUUCGGCCCUUGCGCGAUUGAAUGAGCCGAUGUCGGGUUAGCUAGUUGGCGGGGUAAAGGCCCACUAAGGCGACGAUCCUUAGAUGGUCUGAGAGGAUGAUAAGCCACACUGGAACUGAGACACGGUCCAGACUCCUACGGGAGGCAGCAGUGGGAGAUAUUGGACAAGGGGCGCAAGCCUGAUCCAGCCAUACCGCGUGGGUGAAGAAGGCCUUCGGGUUGUAAAGCCCUUUUGUUGGGAAAGAAAGCCAGCUGGUUAAUACCCGGUUGGGAUGACGGUACCCAAAGAAUAAGCACCGGCUAACUUCGUGCCAGCCGCCGCUGUAA